rnacentral:tRNA from 1 species
GGUCCCAUCGUCUAGAGGCCCAGGACAUAGCCCUCUCAAGGCUAAGACACGGGUUCGACUCCCGUUGGGACCGCCA